rnacentral:rRNA from 1 species
AUUGAACGCUGGCGGCAGGCCUAACACAUGCAAGUCGAGCGGAUGAAGGGAGCUCUCUCCUGGAUUCAGCGGGCGACGGGCGAGUAAUGCCUAGGAAUAUGACUGGCAGUGGGGGCUAACGUCAGGAAACGGGCGCUAAUAUCGCAUACGAUCAUAGGGUGAAAGUGGGGGAUCUUUGGUCCUAACGCUUUCUGAUGAGCCUAGGUCGGAUUAGCUAGUUGGUGGGGUAAAGGCUUACCAAGGCGACGAUCCGUAACUGGUCUGAGAGGAUGAUCAGUCACACUGGAACUGAGACACGGUCCAGACUCCUACGGGAGGCAGCAGUGGGGAAUAUUGGACAAUGGGCGAAAGCCUGAUCCAGCCAUGCCGCGUGUGUGAAGAAGGUCUUCGGAUUGUAAAGCACUUUAAGUUGGGAGGAAGGGAAGUAAGUGAAUACCUUACUGUUUUGACGGUACCAAAAAAGUAAGCACCGGCUAACUACGUG